rnacentral:rRNA from 1 species
UGGGGAAUUUUGGACAAUGGGCGAAAGCCUGAUCCAGCAAUGCCGCGUGCAGGAAGAAGGCCUUCGGGUUGUAAACUGCUUUUGUACGGAACGAAAAGGCUCUUUCUAAUAAAGAGGGCCCAUGACGGUACCGUAAGAAUAAGCACCGGCUAACUACGUGCCAGCAGCCGCGGUAAUACGUAGGGUGCGAGCGUUAAUCGGAAUUACUGGGCGUAAAGCGUGCGCAGGCGGUUAUAUAAGACAGAUGUGAAAUCCCCGGGCUCAACCUGGGAACUGCAUUUGUGACUGUAUAGCUAGGGUACGGCAGAGGGGGAUGGAAUUCCGCGUGUAGCAGUGAAAUGCGUAGAUAUGCGGAGGAACACCGAUGGCGAAGGCAAUCCCCUGGGCCUGUACUGACGCUCAUGCACGAAAGCGUGGGGAGCAAACAGGAUUAGAUACCCACGUAGUCCCUGAGCGGGCUGGCAAGGCGCAU